AUAGUAGCGUGCAGCCAAGGAUGACUUGCCGGCAGAAUGCUGUGUUUCCAGCUCUCCUUGGAUAUGUUCAGAAACAUAUAUAUUGUAAUGAAUGAAUUGGUGCAAGUUGGCAAGUUGUCCUUGGCUACAUGUUUCUUUCU
rfam:Citrus clementina cultivar Clemenules unplaced genomic scaffold scaffold_2, whole genome shotgun sequence.